rfam:Nocardia nova SH22a, complete genome.
UGACGAACUUCGAGCCGACCUGAGUCGACCACCUGAUCGUCAAUGUCCGAUCGAACCGUGGGAUGGAACAUGUCCUACGGCCCGAACACGGGAGAGAAUGCUGAGCGUCACCAC